rnacentral:tRNA from 1 species
GGUCCGGUAGCUCAGUUGGAUAGAGCACAAGCCUUCUAAGCUUGGGGUCAUUGGUUCGAAUCCAAUCCGGAUCA